UUGGAGGGCAAGUCUGGUGCCAGCAGCCGCGGUAAUUCCAGCUCCAAUAGCGUAUAUUAAAGUUGUUGCAGUUAAAAAGCUCGUAGUUGAAUUUCGGGGUUAGUAGGUUGGUCAUGCCUCUGGUAUGUACUGGUCUCACUGAUUCCUCCUUCCUGAUGAGCCGUAAUGCCAUUAAUUUGGUGUUGCAGGGAAUUUGGACUGUUACUUUGAAAAAAUUAGAGUGUUUAAAGCAAGCUAACGCUUGAAUACAUUAGCAUGGAAUAAUGAAAUAGGACGUUUGAUUCUAUUUUGUUGGUUUCUAGGAUCGACGUAAUGAUUAAUAGGGAUAGUUGGGGGCAUUAGUAUUCAAUUGUCAGAGGUGGACUUCUUGGAUUUAUUGAAGACUAACUACUGCGAAAGCAUUUGCCAAGGAUGUUUUCAUUAAUCAAGAACGAAAGUUAGGGGAUCGAAGACGAUCAGAUACCGUCGUAGUCUUAACCAUAAACUAUGCCGACUAGGGAUCGGAUGAUGUUAAUUUUUUAAUGACUCAUUCGGCGCCUUACGGGAAAC
rnacentral:rRNA from 1 species